rnacentral:rRNA from 1 species
UUGCUCUUCAACGAGGAAUACCUAGUAAGCGUGAGUCAUCAGCUCGCGUUGAUUACGUCCCUGCCCUUUGUACACACCGCCCGUCGCUACUACCGAUUGAAUGGUUUAGUGAGGUCUUGAGAUUGGCUUCGGGGAGCCGGCAACGGCACCUUGUUGCUGAGAACUUGAUCAAACUUGGUCAUUUAGAGGAAGUAAAAGUCGUAACAAGGUUUCCGUAGGUGAACCUGCGGAAGGAUCAUUAAUGAAUUUUGAAAGGGGUUGUAGCUGGUCUUUUCCAAGACAUGUGCACGCCCUGCUCAUCCGUUCUACCCCUGUGCACACUCUGUAGGUCGGUUUCGAAGUGAUUCCUCACGGAAUUGCUCGGGCCUUCCUAUGUUUUCAUACAAACACUUUAAAGUCAAAGAAUGUAAUCGCGUGUAACGCAUUUAAUACAACUUUCAGCAACGGAUCUCUUGGCUCUCGCAUCGAUGAAGAACGCAGCGAAAUGCGAUAAGUAAUGUGAAUUGCAGAAUUCAGUGAAUCAUCGAAUCUUUGAACGCACCUUGCGCUCCUUGGUAUUCCGAGGAGCAUGCCUGUUUGAGUGUCAUGGAAUUCUCAACCCUCUUAUCUUUGUUAUGAGAUGGGCUUGGACUUGGAGGUUAUUGCCGGCUUGUCAUGAGUCUGGCUCCUCUUGAAUUCAUUAGCUUGAACCCUUGUGGAUCGGCUACUCGGUGUGAUAAUUGUCUACGCCGUGUGCUGUGAAGCUUUCAAACACUUUGUUGUGUUGAGGGAUUUGCUUCUAAUAGUCCUUCAAUGGACAAUUUUUGACCUCUGACCUCAAAUCAGGUAGGAUUACCCGCUGAACUUAAGCAUAUCAAUAAGCGGAGGA